rnacentral:rRNA from 1 species
GACGAACGCUGGCGGCGUGCCUAAUACAUGCAAGUCGAACGGGGUAAUUCCUUCGGGGAUUACUUAGUGGCGAACGGGUGAGUAACGCGUGAGAAACCUGCCUUUCAGUGGGGGACAACAGUUGGAAACGACUGCUAAUACCGCAUAAUGUUAUUAGGGGGCAUCCCUUGAUAACCAAAGAUUUAUUGCUGAAAGAUGGUCUCGCGUCUGAUUAGCUAGUUGGUGAGGUAACGGCUCACCAAGGCGACGAUCAGUAGCCGGUCUGAGAGGAUGAACGGCCACAUUGGGACUGAGAUACGGCCCAGACUCCUACGGGAGGCAGCAGUGGGGAAUAUUGGGCAAUGGGGGAAACCCUGACCCAGCAACGCCGCGUGAAGGAAGAAGGCCUUCGGGUUGUAACGUUCUUUUACCUAGGGACGAACAAAUAGACGGUACCUGGAG